rnacentral:rRNA from 1 species
AGCUUGCUACUGGACCUAGCGGCGGACGGGUGAGUAAUGCUUAGGAAUCUGCCUAUUAGUGGGGGACAACAUCUCGAAAGGGAUGCUAAUACCGCAUACGUCCUACGGGAGAAAGCAGGGGAUCUUCGGACCUUGCGCUAAUAGAUGAGCCUAAGUCGGAUUAGCUAGUUGGUGGGGUAAAGGCCUACCAAGGCGACGAUCUGUAGCGGGUCUGAGAGGAUGAUCCGCCACACUGGGACUGAGACACGGCCCAGACUCCUACGGGAGGCAGCAGUGGGGAAUAUUGGACAAUGGGGGGAACCCUGAUCCAGCCAUGCCGCGUGUGUGAAGAAGGCCUUAUGGUUGUAAAGCACUUUAAGCGAGGAGGAGGCUACUUUAGUUAAUACCUAGAGAUAGUGGACGUUACUCGCAGAAUAAGCACCGGCUAACUCUGUGCCAGCAGCCGCGGUAAUACAGAGGGUGCGAGCGUUAAUCGGAUUUACUGGGCGUAAAGCGUGCGUAGGCGGCUUAUUAAGUCGGAUGUGAAAUCCCCGAGCUUAACUUGGGAAUUGCAUUCGAUACUGGUGAGCUAGAGUAUGGGAGAGGAUGGUAGAAUUCCAGGUGUAGCGGUGAAAUGCGUAGAGAUCUGGAG